CCUACGGGAGGCAGCAGUGGGGAAUAUUGGGCAAUGGGCGCAAGCCUGACCCAGCAACGCCGCGUGAAGGAAGAAGGCUUUCGGGUUGUAAACUUCUUUUGUCAGGGAAGAGUAGAAGACGGUACCUGACGAAUAAGCCACGGCUAACUACGUGCCAGCAGCCGCGGUAAUACGUAGGUGGCAAGCGUUGUCCGGAUUUACUGGGUGUAAAGGGCGUGUAGCCGGGUUGACAAGUCAGAUGUGAAAUCCUGCGGCUUAACCGCAGAACUGCAUUUGAAACUGUUGAUCUUGAGUACUGGUGAGGCAGGCGGAAUUCCUAGUGUAGCGGUGAAAUGCGUAGAUAUUAGGAAGAACACCAGUGGCGAAGGCGGUCUGCUGGACAGCAACUGACGGUGAGGCGCGAAAGCGUGGGGAGCAAACAGGAUUAGAUACCCUUGUAGUC
rnacentral:rRNA from 1 species